rnacentral:rRNA from 1 species
UAGGGAAUCUUCCACAAUGGACGCAAGUCUGAUGGAGCAACGCCGCGUGUGUGAUGAAGGGUUUCGGCUCGUAAAACACUGUUGUAAGAGAAGAAUGACAUUGAGAGUAACUGUUCAAUGUGUGACGGUAUCUUACCAGAAAGGAACGGCUAAAUACGUGCCAG